AUUAAACGCUGGCGGCAUGCCUUACACAUGCAAGUCGAACGGCAGCACGGGGGCAACCCUGGUGGCGAGUGGCGAACGGGUGAGUAAAGCAUCGGAACGUGCCCUGGAGUGGGGGAUAACGUAGCGAAAGUUACGCUAAUACCGCAUAUUCUGUGAGCAGGAAAGCAGGGGAUCGCAAGACCUUGCGCUCUGGGAGCGGCCGAUGUCGGAUUAGCUAGUUGGUGGGGUAAAGGCCUACCAAGGCGACGAUCCGUAGCGGGUCUGAGAGGAUGAUCCGCCACACUGGGACUGAGACACGGCCCAGACUCCUACGGGAGGCAGCAGUGGGGAAUUUUGGACAAUGGGCGAAAGCCUGAUCCAGCCAUGCCGCGUGAGUGAAGAAGGCCUUCGGGUUGUAAAGUACGUCUUUCGGUUGGGGGUAAGGAAAGUUA
rnacentral:rRNA from 1 species